CCUUCACCUAACUUAUCAGUCUCGGCCUUCACCGCGUCGCAACCAUUCUCUUCCCUCACCUCUCAGAACCACCGGCACACGCUUCUCCCUGUCUCUCUGGCCUGCCACAAGCGAGAUUUGGCGACAAGCAAACCCCAGCAAGCAACAAGCGAACAAGCGGUGGCUUGGGAUUUCACCAGGCAUGGCCGCACCAGCCCAAGCCGACAGCUACAACCUCCAUGUUGGGGAGCCCCACGGUGAUCCAGAUCUGAGGAGCCCCACGAUGAUGGAUAGAGUUUCCCAGGUAUACUGUGAGCACGUGCUGGUUGGCCUCCAGCGAGCAGGUGACCAUGGUGGGGGAGCCGAACAGGUGCGUCUGCUACCUACGUCAACCAGUCUGACCUCUAUGUCCACCUCUGCAUCGGCCCCUACUUUUGCUCAGAGUUGAAAUUCAGCUGAAGGUUUGCAGUCAGCAACCAAGAUCUCAAAAGGGGGUUGCUGGUUCUUCUUAGAGAUCUUCUCAAGGCGCUGCAAUAUCAUCUCAUGGGCGCUAGGUGGUGAUAGCUUGUUGGAAGAAAGGGUGGAAGGGUGCUGGGAGUAAACUUGAAUGCUUUUGGACUAGGUGCUUUCUUAUGGUGAAUUAGAUGCUUUCUUUGAAUGCUUGUGGACUACAAUCUGUGUUUUAGUUUGUGGACUUGAAUCACUUUUGGUUGAUGAUGACUUAGCUAGAUUAUGUAUUCAGCUAAUCUAUGCAUGCUUGUAUAUUGGCUUGAUGGCACAUGAUUAUAUAUGUACUCAUUUGAUAUGGAUGUAUGAGUAAUGUGCCCAUUUGUGUAUGUCAUUCAGUAUUGUAUUGAUUC